rnacentral:rRNA from 1 species
AGGACGAACGCUGGCGGCGUGCUUAACACAUGCAAGUCGAGCGGAAAGGCCUUUCGGGGUACUCGAGCGGCGAACGGGUGAGUAACACGUGAGUAAUCUGCCCAUCGCUUCAGGAUAGCCAUCGGAAACGGUGAUUAAUACUGGAUAUGACAUUCCUUCGCAUGUUGGGGUGUGGAAAGUUUUUUCGGCGGUGGAUGUGCUCGCGGCCUAUCAGCUUGUUGGUGGGGUAAUGGCCCACCAAGGCUUUGACGGGUAGCCGGCCUGAGAGGGUGACCGGCCACACUGGGACUGAGACACGGCCCAGACUCCUACGGGAGGCAGCAGUGGGGAAUAUGGACAAGUGGGCGGAAGCCUGAUCCAGCAACGCCGCGUGAGGAUGACGGCCUUCGGGUUGUAAACCUUCUUUCAGCACGAGACGAAGUUUUGUCGUUUUUGGUGUAAGUGACGGUUAGUGUGCUAAGGAAGAAGGACCGGCCAACUACGUCGCCAGCCAGCCGAC